AAGUCGUAACAAGGUCUCCGUAGGUGAACCUGCGGAGGGAUCAUUACAAGUGACCCCCGGCUCCGGCCGGGGAUGUUCAUAACCCAUUGUUGUCCGACUCUGUUGCCUCCGGGGCGACCCUGCCUUUUCACGGGCGGGGGCCCCGGGUGGACACAUCAUAACUCUUGCGUAACUUUGCAGUCUGAGUAAAUUUAAUUAAUAAAUUAAAACUUUCAACAACGGAUCUCUUGGUUCUG
rnacentral:misc_RNA from 1 species